GAGUUUGAUCCUGGCUCAGAAUCAACGCUGGCGGCGUGCCUAACACAUGCAAGUCGAGCGAGAAAAGGGGGGCAACUCCCCGAGUAAAGCGGCGCACGGGUGAGUAACACGUGGGUAAUCUGCCCUGGAGUGGGGAAUAACACCGGGAAACCGGUGCUAAUACCGCAUACGAUCACGAUGUCUGUGGAUGACGUGAUGAAAGGAGCAAUUCGCUCCAGGAGGAGCCCGCGGCUGAUUAGCUAGUUGGUGAGGUAAUGGCUCACCAAGGCAACGAUCAGUAUCCGGUCUGAGAGGACGGUCGGACACACUGGAACUGAGACACGGUCCAGACUCCUACGGGAGGCAGCAGUGGGGAAUUUUUCGCAAUGGGGGCAACCCUGACGAAGCAACGCCGCGUGGAUGAUGAAGUAUCUCGGUACGUAAAAUCCUUUCGACAGGGAAGAAACCGCAAGGUUGACGGUACCUGUAGAAGAAGCCCCGGCUAACUCCGUGCCAGCAGCCGCGGUAAUACGGGGGGGGCGAGCGUUGUUCGGAAUUACUGGGCGUAAAGGGCGCGUAGGCGGUCUGCUAAGUUGGAUGUGAAAACUCUGGGCUUAACCCAGAGCCUGCAUUCAAUACUGACAGGCUAGAGUUCUGGAGGGGAUAGCGGAAUUCCUGGUGUAGCGGUGAAAUGCGUAGAUAUCAGGAGGAACACCGGUGGCGAAGGCGGCUAUCUGGACAGAGUCUGACGCUGAGGCGCGAAAGCUAGGGGAGCAAACAGGAUUAGAUACCCUGGUAGUCCUAGCCCUAAACGAUGGAUA
rnacentral:rRNA from 1 species